rnacentral:rRNA from 1 species
UUUGUCCAUACCACCCUCAAUGUGCCCUAUCUUGUCUGAUUUCAGAAGCUAAGUAGGGUCAGAAUUGGUUAGUAUUUGUUGGAUGGGAAACAGCCCUGGGCACAC